rnacentral:rRNA from 1 species
UACGAAGGGGGCUAGCGUUGUCCGGAUUUACUGGGCGUAAAGAGCGUGUAGGCGGCUAGGUAGGUCCGUUGUGAAAACUCGAGGCUCAACCUCGAGCUGUCGAUGGAAACCAUCUGGCUAGAGUCCGGAAGAGGAGAGUGGAAUUCCCGGUGUAGCGGUGAAAUGCGCAGAUAUCGGGAGGAACACCAAUGGCGAAGGCAGCACCCUGGGCCGGUACUGACGCUGAGACGCGAAAGCGUGGGGAGCGAACAGG